GGAGCGCUUUGAGGAAGAGGCACUGUCUAGAUUAAAAGCAGCCGACUCAGCUGAUCAGCAAUCUGCAGAAGGUCAGGAGGAAAGUGCUGCUAGUGGAUCAAACAAAUGUGUUUAUUCGAUCAAUGGUCGGUUGAAGCAGUUUUCUGAUUGGCUGUUAGAUAUUAUUGCCAUGGGAGACUUGGAUGCUUUCUUCCCUGCUGCCACUCGUGAAUAUGCUCCUUUGGUUGAUGAGAUGUGGAAAGAUCCUGC
rnacentral:misc_RNA from 1 species